rnacentral:snoRNA from 9 species
CUGCAGCCAAUUAAGCCGACCGGGUCCUUUUCCCCAUGGGGGCCCGGUGUGCACUGGCUGCAAACAGCAGCCUCCUUGGUAGUGUAUGCAGCCUGUUGCUUGUAUGGGUUGCCCUAAGGGACCUUGGAGACAGCC